GAGUGGGCGGGAGCCCUGGGUGCACAUACCUGGCCGCCCCAAGGCCUCACCGGCCCCCGCAGAUGCAGAGGAGCGAGGCCUGGAGCCCCAGGGCCGAGACAUGCUGCUGGACCGGCAGCUCCUGCGGAAGCGCAGCAGCCAGACCCCGGGAAACACCAGGGGUGAGACCCCCCAUUGGAGGCCUGCAGAGCUGAGCCUUCAUCCAAAACCCUGGGGUCCCUCUCCGUCGGCCACAGUGAAUCUUGGGCCAACCUCCCAGCCCCGUGGGCGCGUCACCAUCGCCAGGGCAGCGGCUGGAGAGGCGAGCUGAGGGGCUGACUUCCACCCGACGGCUGAUGAGGUGAGGCUGAGCCCCAGGCUGGGGCCUGGAGCAAGACCCAAGCAGCAGGGGAGGUACAGAGGCACCCGUCUCCCUGGCGUGUGUGCGUGUGCAUGCGUGUGCGUGCGCGUGCGUGGUGUGUGUGUGGAGAACCAAUUUGCAUUGUCUCUGCGCACGUGCGAUAAGAGUUUUCCGACACAAAAGGUGUCAGUAAAAUUAACUGAUUUCAUUUUGAACCUUCCCCCCAGCCCAACAGGCAGUGUCUGGCAAGGCUUCCUUUCAGCGAGACGCUUUGGGUUCAACUUUGCCAAUGGCUAGUGUGAAGCUAAGCCGGCCUGAAGUCACAGGCGCACGAGCCUCGUGAGCCCUGGAGAAGGGCCACGAAGCUCAGGCUGGGGAGGGGGCCCUGGGCCGCCCCCCCUCCAGCCCCAGGCUCCGACCCUGCUGAGGGGGCUUGGUGUCUUCUCUGCACACAGCCCCUCAGGCAAGUCCAGAGCCCUGCUUCCUCCCGGGAAUGCCAGGGACAUGUCACCUACGGCAUCUGUCCCGCUCUUGCUCUGAUUGAGCGGCCCCAGCAGAGGAGACUGUGGGAACAGACAGAGAAGAAGGCAGCCUUUGGGGGAAAAGCUGAGUCAGCGAGGGAGGAGGGGAGGCCGGGCUGCUGCGGACGCAGCCUCCCCCGAGCAGCUGCCUUCCCUGCGUCCUGCAGCAGGAGGCGCUGCUGAGAACAAGUGCACUCCCCACUUGGAGUCUCGAAAUCCUGUUUCUGCAAAGCUGGCUGCAUCGCACACGGAACGUCAGUGCCCACACGUGGCCUGGAGCAAGACUGAGCCCUUGGCCCUCCCGCUGGGGGUCUUACAACGGGGCGAGCUUACGAGGUGCCCAGAGCAUCAUCAAGCUGGCUCAGGGGGCCCAGAGCUGAGUGUGCCACAGCCCAGCCCCGACCAGCACUGGCCCCUAGGAGGAAGGACACCUUGAGGCCAGCAGGUGCCGUGGCGAACAAGGGCACAGGACAUGCCACCUCCCGGUGCCCCUGUGGGCAGGGAGACGGACGCCUUCCCCUCCACAGGCCAGUGGCAUCCCGCUGUCUCCAUUUGAGAGGCGGCAAGCAGGCCAGAUGGGGCCGCCUUGAAAGCCUGCCCUCCAGCCAAAGCCAAGGGCACGGGAAAUAAACUGGGUCCAUAUGUGCGGGCAGCUCCCGCAUGUCUGCGGCACGCACCUGCCUCUGCUCCCAGGUCCAACCCUGCAGUCGCACACCUCUGAACACCCGUCCAUGAAGCUGAUGCGGUGACCUAGGGGGACCUCCCUCAAGGGGCCACUGUCAGGUGCAGGUCAACCGCUCUGUGGUCUCGGGCAAGACGAUGAGUGAAGACGGAGCUGAGCUGCACCCAGCAGGCACUAGAUCAAGGCAGAAAAACGUGGACCUGCAGAGCAGAGUGACACAUUGCCCCAGGUCUCUGCUACGUGGCCUGGCCCUCCCGAAGUGGGGGAUUUAAAGUGACAGCACCAGUUCUGAGCUCACCCAUCUGCAGUUUGGGCAGAGAGAGACUGAAAGGAGGCAGAGACAGGGGGAAGGUGGGGGAGGAGCCUCCUCAGACUGGGGACCCUGCUGGAGGGCAGCAAAAGGACAGCCCUGGAGUUCCCGGAGUGGCACGACAGAAACGAAUCGGACUAGGAACGAUGAGGUAGCGAGUUCGAUCCCUGGCCUCGCUCAGUGGGUUAAGGAUCCAACAUUGCCGUGAGCUGUGGUGUAGGUCGCAGACUCAGCUUGGAUCCCGCGUUUUUGCGGCUGUGGUUGUGGCAUAGGCCGGCGGCUACAACUCUGACUGGGCCCCUAGACUGGGAACCUCCAUAUGCUGAGGUGCAGCCCUGAAAAGACCAAAAAGAAAGAAAGAAAGAAAGAAAGAAAGAGCAGCUCCCCCACCUCCCCGCCCCUUAAAGCUGCAGCUGGGAGCGCAGCAAGGCGUCCUCUUUGGGUCUCGGCAGCACCCCUCGGGCACUUUGAGCAUCACCGCCCAUCUCCAAGCCGCGGCGGCCUCAUCUAGAAAAGCGAGGUCUGUGCAAACCUGGAAACCAGAGGGCACGGAGCAGUCCGGGGAGCCCGACACAGGGAACAUGUGGCUUCAGGGAGCGGGAGCCCAGCGCCUGCAGAGAGGCCACCUGCUUCGGGGGCAGGAGAGCAGGGCCAGGUGGCCCCCAGGUUGAGGCUGUACCUGGGGGAGCACCCAGGUGCGGAGGGGCCCUCAGCCAGACCCUCUGUGUCUUUCCUCCGAAGAGAAGUUCUAGUUGACCCAGGGGCUCUGCAGGGCCCCUCCUGGAAGCCCUCCUCUCUGCCACAUGGACUGUGUCAUCUCAUCAUCUUUCUGUCACCUGACAGGCUUCUUCUGCCCCGAGUCCCCUGCCAGUGGGAUUUUCCGUCUCAAUCUCACCCCCUCCUCUCCUAACGGGCCUCUUCUUCUGAAAUAAAUCGAUUGCUUUCAUGCCAACUCUCUUCUCUCUGCUAAGAAAUCAUCGAGUUUUUUAAACUUUUAUUUGUUCUGUUCCCCCCCCCCCCAUUUCUUCCCAGGCCUCCUUUUCUCUGGGGAUCGUGAAAUUUUAUUUAGCAAGUCCCGGAACAAGUCCCAACCGGGCCUCCUCGUGCGCGAGAAUGUCACAUCCGUGCCACAUUUAAGACAACCUGGAAGGGACCCUCAGCGACGGAGCUGCCCGCUCUGCCAGCUUCCUCCCUGGGAAACCCAGAGCCCAGGGGAGAAGGAAAAGGGCCGAGGCCGAAAACAAGGCCAGGGUCUGAGCCUUGAGUGGAAAUCGGGGUCCGGCCGGGCCUCCCUUUCCCGCGUGGUGAAGAAUCACGUGCCGGCAGGAGGAGGUGCAUGGGCACCCGGGACGCCACCCUGGGGAAGAACCGGCGAGGCCUCUUGUUGCUCCAGGGGAAGCGGCCCAGAGCUGCCAAGUGACACGGCGCUGGCCACCAAGAAAGUGUGGAAGCUUGCCAAACCCAGCCGGGGACACUCUCUGUCCCUGGUGAAGACGGCCAAGCCGCUGGCACUGCCCUGUGAAGGAGGACACCAGCUGAGGUGGCAGGAGAAGGGCCGGGAGCAUCAUGGAGCAGCCCGGUCACAGCCGACAGCCAGCUGCCCCCAGAUGCUUGCUCCUUGAGGAGAAAGCGCACUCAGGUCGAAGCCUCUGCUUCCCGGUGUCUCAGUCCUCGUAGACUCAUUUGUCCCUAAAUGACUUGGCCCUCAGCCUGGAGACACCCCGCACCCCAGGAGGGAGGGGAAUGCCCCGGGGACAGCGGCGAGCCGCCCCUGGGCGCCGAUGCCUGCAAGCAAGGGCCUCCUCCCCAGGGAGCCCGGGCCUUCUACACGCGCCGACCACGCAGGACUCCCGGCCCGGUCCUGCGUCCCGCCCACUCCUGCAUCUGCCGUCUGUCUGCCAUUGCCCUCCUCUUCCAGAGACAUGAGGCCUGGGGCCGCCUUGCUGAAAACGGGCCACGGAAGGGACGCCACCUAAGUCCCGGGGCCAGGACACGCACGGGGAGAUGGAUCCUCCUGGCUUCUCCCGGCUCAGCAGCAGGGCUCGGGGCACCCAGAGGCCGUGUGUGCGGCCCCAGGAGCAGACCCGCCUCCCCCUCCCAUGCAGGAGACUAUGGGCAGCAGCUCAGCAGCCAGGAGCCAUCCUGCUACCCGCCUCCUCCCAGGUGGGCCCUGUCACAAGACCCCGAGGCUGCGCUGGGUCCCGCCUUUGUCCGCCUCUGUCCUCCCCAGCCUCCCUGAGGGCAGGUGAGAAGAGUCCCUACCCCACCUGGUCGGCCAGGUGCUGGGCCCUGAGGAUCCCACCACCUCGGGAGCCACACGCCAAAGAGAGAAAGCGGCGAAGGCGAACCCAGGUGACUGCGUCUUUGGAAAGAGGAGAGAGAGAGCAAGCAGCGACAGCGCUUUCAAAGCUGGCCAACACCGCCAGCCUCGCGAAGGCCGCCGAGCGGCGUGGUUCGCUGUCAUCCUCAGCUGAGUCACAUCCUUUCUCUCCACGUGUUUUGGGCUGGAUAGUUUUGAUGGCCUCCUCAUAAAUUAUGUAAUAUCGUCUCCCAUAAAGAAAAUGAGAGGAUCAGGUGGUCUCCCCCAGCUCAGAUGACCAAAUUUUUCUUAGUGUUGAAAGUUUAUAGAAGUCAAUUUGAGCUUUGCAACUCGUGACUGGGGACAUCAAGAGAAAUUUCAGCAUUGUUGUCACAUUCAGAAAAACGUCUCUCAUGCCUCUUUUAUACCCAAGGGUUAGGAUGCCGGCGUGUUCAUGUUCUCUUGGGUGGUGGAUGCUAUGCAAUACACUUUGGAGUUCCCUGGUGGCUCAGUGGAUUAAGGAUCCAGCAUGGUCAUUGCGGUGCUUGGAUCACUGCUCUGACAAGGGUUCAGUCUCUGUCCCAGGAACUUCUGCAGGCCCUGAGCAUGGCAAAAAAAAAUUUAACAAUUUGGACUUGCCGCUGUGGUGCAACGGGAUUGGCAGCAUCUUUGCAGCCCCAGGGCGCAGGUUCGAUUCCCAGCCGGCAAAGUGGGUUAAAAGGGUCUGGUGUUGCCACAGCUGUAGCGUAGGAAGCAACUAUGGCUCCGAUCUGAUCCCUGGCCUGGGAACUCCAUAUGGCCCAGGGAGGCCAAAAAAGAAAAAAGUACUCUCAGUUCAUGACACUAAACUCUUUUCACUCUGUUGAACGGGUGGCUGGGUUUCAGGAGUCAGAGUAAUGCAUUUCUCACGAGGAUCUGUUGCCGUUAGCAGGAACGUGCGGGAGCCAAGGACAUGCGGGAGCCGCAGGGACCUGCGACGUCAGCUUCUUUGGCGUCACGUCUGAACCUGUGUGUCCCUGCAAGAUGCCCGAACCUUGGAGCAGGGAGGAUCCCAGGCAGGCAGGUGUGUGUCAGGCCGCUCAUUCCCACUGGUGGAGAUUUAUUAGGUGUCGGUGGCAAGAAUCCUGGCAAAUUUCUCCAGGAAUCUGUACCGAGGCACCGGGAUGGGUCCCCUAUAAACACAGGCCUUUGCGACCUCAGCCACCUCUUCUUCAGCAACAAAUCAGCACCCAUUACGGAAUGGGACACUAGUUAGAUGAAAGAAUCUGUUUUCGCAAAGGAAAACAGCACUGUCCCGAGAGCCUUGUGGCAGCCGUGAGCAUGGCCACAUGCACCUGUCAGGAGGAUGUGGUUCCAGGAUGCCAGGUGCUGGUGAGGACGCAGCGGGACCAGAACUCACAUGUGGCCAGCAGGGAUGCAAACGGCCAGUGUGGACAGUCACUCGGAGCGUUGACCAAAUAUCUGCAAUGCAACCCAGCAGUCUCUCUCCAGGGUCUUCGCCUUCGGGAAGUCAAAACUAUGUCCACAAAAAUCUGUACCUGGAUGUUUACAGCACUUCUGUUCAUAACCACAAAAAUAGUAAAGUCCCAAAGGUCCU
rnacentral:lncRNA from 1 species